rnacentral:rRNA from 1 species
GUCCACGCCGUAAACUUUGGGCACUAGGUGUUGCGGGUAUUGACCCCUGCAGUGCCGAAGCUAACGCAUUAAGUGCCCCGCCUGGUGAGUACGGUCGCAAGACUAAAACUCAAAGGAAUUGACGGGGGCCCGCACAAGCGGUGGAGUAUGUGGUUCAAUUCGACGCAACGCGAAGAACCUUACCUGGGUUUGACAUCCCGAGAAUCCUGUAGAAACACAGGCGUGCCUCUUUGAGGAACUCGGUGACAGGUGCUGCAUGGCUGUCGU